AUUGAACGCUGGCGGCAUGCCUUACACAUGCAAGUCGAACGGCAGCAUGGAGAGCUUGCUCUCUGAUGGCGAGUGGCGAACGGGUGAGUAAUGCAUCGGAACGUACCGUGUCAUGGGGGAUAACGUAGCGAAAGUUACGCUAAUACCGCAUACGACCUGCGGGUGAAAGCAGGUGAUCGCAAGACUUUGCGUUAUACGAGCGGCCGAUGUCAGUUUAGCUAGUUGGUGAGGUAAAGGCUCACCAAGGCGACGAUCUGUAGCGGGUCUGAGAGGAUGAUCCGCCACACUGGGACUGAGACACGGCCCAGACUCCUACGGGAGGCAGCAGUGGGGAAUUUUGGACAAUGGGGGCAACCCUGAUCCAGCCAUGCCGCGUGAGUGAAGAAGGCCUUCGGGUUGUAAAGCUCUUUCGGCCGGGAAGAAAUCGCACAGGCUAAUACUCUGUGUGGAUGACGGUACCGGCAUAAGAAGCACCGGCUAACUACGUGCCAGCCGCCGCCGUAA
rnacentral:rRNA from 1 species